GUAAUAUAUUUUAUAAUUCCCAUAUUUUAGUUUUUCUUUGUAAAUUUUCAGCUUUUAAUUUUUCAUUUUCACACAUAAAAGUCCGGCGAUCGAGGUGUUGAACGAAGUUAAUGGUUCAAACAAAUCCCCUAUAUCAAAGCAAUCAGCAGCUCUUCCUUGGGUUUCUUACUACCACUAUCGCCGUUCAUGCCGGACCCACUACUGUCGAUGGGAUUCCAAUGCCGAGACCAAACGCUCUCAAAGAUUUGGUUUUGAUUUUAGAGGCAAAAGAGAUGAAUAUGAAGACGAAGAUGAAGAAGGAGAAGAUUACGAGGAAGGAUGCUACAACGGAAGGAAGAGGCGGUGGUGGUCUGAUUAUGAGUCGCUGGAGAUGGAGGAAGGUCCUGGAAUUUUAAAAGAAGCCAUUGAUGCUCUAUGGAUGAUUAUGUUUUAAACAACUAUAGGUCUCUGCAUCAUCACAAUUAAUCAUUUUCCAUCAAUUUUCUCGGGAACCAAACAAGCUUACUUGUAAAACUCCAUAACAGAACAGCCUAAAGCUUACUUGUAAGUUUUCUUCAUACUAGGGCUUCCAUUGACCUCUAAUAAGCCUGACAAAUGCAACAGCGGCCAAGUUUUUGGGUUUGAUUUCUUAUUGGGGCAUCUAGCUAAAUGCCAGAAUUUCUUGCUUCCUCACUUUUCUAAAUAUUGCAGGGCGACCGCAUACAUUCCUCUCACAAUCCUCGCUGUUCCAGCUUCUAUACUUACUCUUGGUGGAGGCUAUUAAUAUCUGUAUUGGGUUUAUAGAUUUUGAAUACCUUAUUUUCAGUUGGGUAUGUUGAAUUUUUGGGUUUCGAGCUGAAUUAUGUUGAUUUUUCUUGAAUUGAAAGAUGGGUCUUUUGUAAUAUUUGAUGAAGAAAAUUUUCUAUUUUUAGUCUUUUGUAACCUUGCUUUGAUCAAUACAGUAUGAUCUGAUUUGUAGAACAUGGAAAUGUUGAUGAAGCGCUAAAGUAUUUUCACCAGAUGGAAGAAUUCGAGAUUUCAGAUAGUCUUGACAUCGUUAAUAAAGGCUGUAAGGUUGGGAGCUUGAAAGAUGAAAGGCUCUUUGUUUUUUAAUUAUACUCGAUUUGAGUUAUUACGUGUUAUUUGUUUGUAUUCAUUAUGUAAAAUGUUUUGUUUAAAUUAUAACCAAUUUGAGUUAUUUCGUGUUAUUUAUUUUUAUUCAUUAUAACAUUGUUAUAGCUAGAACCGGUUUUAUUUUAAUUAUAACUAGUUUGAGUUAUUUUGUAUUAUUUAUUUUUAUUCAUUA